AGAAGGUAGAGGUAGAAGUUAGCAGGAGGAGGAACGGGAGUUUGCUUGGAUUGGCUGGCGCGGCAACGUGCGGAGCGCUGAUUGGUGGCAGGGAAAUGGAAUGAUUCUGCGUGGAUGUGGACUGGCAGGAGCCGGAGCGAGGUACCCCUGAGGGCGGUGAGGAAGGGAAGAGUAACUUCAGAUUGAGGUCAAGUCUCCAACCGUUGUAAACAUGGACUGCAUUCUUCUGGAACCCUACAGAUGUUCUCUAUGGAAGCAACUUCUCAAGAGGAUGGCUUUUUUUGUUUUGUUAUAAUUGUGAAAAAACAUGCAAAACAUAAAAUUUACUAUUUCAACAAUUUUUAAAGGUACAAUUCAGCGACAUUGAGUACAUUUGAAAAUUGUGCAACCAGUGCCACUAUCCAUUUCCAGAACUUUUUCAUCAUCCCAGACAGCAAAUCCAUAUGCAUUAGACAAUAACUCCCAUUACCUCCCCCCUCAGGGGAUUACUUUUGAACAGUUUUGGUGCCCACAAAAAUCUGUGGCUAUGUUUACACACCUUUUUAAGGGCUUUAUCAUUUCAUUUAUUUAGCAAACAUUUACUAGGCAACUGUACUGGAUGAAAUGUUAGAGAUCGGUCAUCAAAUAAAUACCAAUUCUUUACCCGAAGGAGCUUGCAAUGAACUGAGAUAGAUAAAUAAGUGAUAUCAGUGAGCUGUGAUAAAUGCAAUGAGAGAAAGGAAAGAAGAGAACUGGCUGGAGAUCUAGAGUUCAUGGAACACACACUGUCAGACUGACUGCAUCAAGUGCUUUUGCGUAUUACUUCUCUUCAUAAAAGCCCUGUGAAGUACCGGCUGUUACCCUAUCUUGCAGAUAAGCAAUCUGAAACCUAGGAUGGUCCAGCAAGUUGCCCACAGGUGCUUCCACAGGGAAGGGAAGCACUAAACAGGCAAUGUUACCCAAAGAUUAUGUGACCAUUCAGAAGUUCCCCCGACCAGUCAGGAAAAAUUGUACACUUUUAAGGGCCUGUGGAGGAAAACCACUGAAGAGCAGAGGGAAGAGAAGGGAGGCACUGACUUCUGGCAAAUACCAGUUCUGCACCAACUAGCUGUGGGACUCUUUCUCAAUCUCCUCAUCUGUAAGGGUGGUAAUAAGGGAUCUUUAAAGUGUCUUACAGCUUUAAAAAUCUAUCAUUUCAACUCUUAUUUGAAUAAAAUCCAAUACAUUUGGAGAAAAUAAAAGGUAUUUUCAGUAUUCCAAGGUAUGACGAAGCUUGUUAAGGACAUUUUAGAUUGUUAAUGUCUUAGAACAGACUUCUUGACAUAAAUUCAAACUGGAUAUUGUUGGAGGAUGUCGUUGAGAGGACAUGACUGCCAAUUGACCUGCAAGCUGGACUUGGGCAAUCGGAGGCUCCUUACACCCUCCCCAUCCUUGGAUUGUACAUUCUGCCCACUGUUCCCAAAGUGGGAGCCAUUUUUAAGGAUGUAUCCUUGAGAGAGCAGUGUGUUAUUGAGACCAUCUGGAUGGCAUACAUGACUGAACCCAGUGAAGGCCUCUGUAUAAACUUUUAAGAUUCUGGUGGGCAAAUAUGGAGAUCUACUCAUCCUGCAGCCACCCAAGACAAGCCUUGUGAUUUCCCCUCUGGAUCUGGGAGCUUUCGUCAGCCAACCAAGGACCAGCUUUCUGAACUUCUUUUCCUUUGGACACAGCACUGGGAUGCAAAAUUCUGAAGAAUUAUGCCUGUUUGCCCACUGGUCAGGAGUACACAUGGUCAUAGACUGAUUAAAACAAGAUUUUCUGCAGAACGUGGCUGAUUUUCCAAAGUGCAGUGACGCAGUUCCUUUUUGCUCCCUAUCCCCACCAUACCCUCUCUGGACUGGAUUCAUGAGAAGACAGUUUUCAGUUGAAGAAACUCAGGCACUUAUGGAAACAACACUGAAUAGAGCUGCUUCCUAUGGCCUUCUCAGGCCAAGUGAUGAUGAGCGUGGGACUGUGGAGUCAGUUCAUCUCCAGUCAAGGCUGUGCUCGAGAAGAGUCUACAAGUAUGGGACAGGGUCCUGGAAGGGUGCCAACAGGGGCUUGCACAGGUCUAUCAGGAGGAAGAAAGUUAAUUAAAAGUCCGGUUAAGUUGGCUCAAAAGAAUAAUAAAUCAAAAAGUUCAUCAGGAGGAGCUGAGUGGGACAUGAUCCAAAGGAUCAAAGUGCGGGUCAGAAACGGGAUGAUUGGAAACAAAGCCAGCUCAGGAACUCACCUUGGGAUUGCUGAGACAAUGCUCUGGCAACAUCUUAUGCACAGGUUGGUGAGCGAAGCUGGAGAGGGCCCUCGUCCUGACAAUACCAGAGCCUGGAUAGAUCCUCAUAAUUUGAUGGGAAGGGAACAGUCUUGAGAGACAGUUUUGCAAGUGCUGGUUUUAGAGCAUUGUUUUCCUGGUUUGUCAAGUGAGAGAUCUGUGUUGAUAAUGUCUAGUGUUUGUGAAUAAUAACAUUCUUUGACACCAUCUGGAUAAGGCACCUAAAGCACUAGGCUCAUGUCUCUCCUAGAACCAGCCAGUCCUCCCUCAACCUUUGCAAAUCUAUCCCUGGUGCUGAUGUUCAGCAUGUGCAUGUGCAUAACAUCUGAGGAGAGCAAACAGCAGGGGCAGAGCCCCAGGACACCCAUCCUUCCUCGGCAGCGGAAGGUACCUCAGUUAGCACCUUCUACAGGAAGGAAACGCCUGUGGAGAG
rnacentral:lncRNA from 1 species